rnacentral:rRNA from 1 species
GACGAACGCUGGCGGCGUGCUUAACACAUGCAAGUCGAACGGUGACCUCGAGAGCUUGCUCUUGAGUGAUCAGUGGCGAACGGGUGAGUAACACGUGAGUAACCUGCCCCAGACUCUGGAAUAACCCCGGGAAACCGGAGCUAAUACCGGAUACGAAGUGGAGCCGCAUGGCUACUACUUGGAAAGUUUUUCGGUCUGGGAUGGACUCGCGGCCUAUCAGCUAGUUGGUGAGGUAACGGCUCACCAAGGCGACGACGGGUAGCCGGCCUGAGAGGGGGACCGGCCACACUGGGACUGGGACACGGCCCAGACUCCUACGGGAGGAAGCAGUGGGGAAUAUUGCACAAUGGGCGAAAGCCUGAUGCAGCGGCGCCGGGUGAGGGAUGACGGCCUUCGGGUUGUAAACCUCUUUCAGCAGAGAAGAAGCGAAAGUGACGGUACCUGAAGAAGAAGCACCGGCUAACUACGUGCCAGCCGCCGCCGUAACAC